GGCGGAGGGGCCCGGCGCGGCUCCGUCCGGCUUCCCGUCGUCCUGCGCCCGCUGGUGGUGCUCUUCACCUCCACUUGCGAGCGCAGCUGACGUUGGAAGCUGCGGACGGCAAGUGGAUGGCGUGACGGGUGAGGUAUGUGAGUAAUCGUGCUGAACUUGACCGGGUGAAAAUAAUUGUUGCGCAACCCAAGCUAUGCGCGUUUAAGUCAGGCGGGGGAUUGGGUGCACCCCUCUUGUCACAACCUUCAAGCCCCUCUGUCACGUGUGCUUUGCAUGGGUUUUGCAACGAAUUUGGUUUGGGUGUUGUUCGCGCGAAUAAUCGUUGGACCUGUGCCUGUCGCGUGCGAAGCUCGCGCUUCCUACCACGCCUUAAAGUUUGUCGCUCAGUAGCGCGCUGCUUACCUUGACCAUGCGCCGUCCCAAUCUACAGGUGAAUCGCCAUUGCCGUCCCCUUUUUGAGCAAAGACCUGAAGCGACCUGGUUCGCGCGGAUGGGACGCGAACGCCCGUCGACUUAGAUACGUGCACUGUAUUUUGGUUAAGGGAUAAUCUGGACUGAGCUUUGUACAUAAUGCAGCAACCUGGCAUGUAGCGGCAACAAUACCGUAUGCAAGCUUAAUAAUAACAGUCAAUUGCGACGGAGCGCGCUAGUAGCACAUAAGGUAGAAUUGCUAAGCCAUGCGAACAUCAUCAAAUUACACAGGUCACUUGAAGCUGGAUUAACAAACUCGCACAAAAAAGCGACCGUACGGCAUUUAUGGCGUUCCCAGAG
rnacentral:lncRNA from 1 species